AUAAUGACGGUACUUGAGGAGGAAGCCCCGGCUAACUACGUGCCAGCAGCCGCGGUAAUACGUAGGGGGCUAGCGUUAUCCGGAUUUACUGGGCGUAAAGGGUGCGUAGGCGGUCUUUCAAGUCAGGAGUGAAAGGCUACGGCUCAACCGUAGUAAGCUCUUGAAACUGGGAGACUUGAGUGCAGGAGAGGAGAGUGGAAUUCCUAGUGUAGCGGUGAAAUGCGUAGAUAUUAGGAGGAACACCAGUUGCGAAGGCGGCUCUCUGGACUGUAACUGACGCUGAGGC
rnacentral:rRNA from 1 species